rnacentral:snoRNA from 1 species
AUCCCAUGGUGUGGACACUUUUGCAGCAUAUUCUUGAAUCGAUUCCAGGCUUCAUCGAAAUUCUUCGAGUCUCCUUGGCGAAAAAUAGAGAUAUCGUGUUUGAACUU